rnacentral:rRNA from 1 species
UACGUAGGGUGCGAGCGUUAAUCGGAAUUACUGGGCGUAAAGCGUGCGCAGGCGGUGGCUCAAGCCAGGCGUGAAAUCCCCGGGCUUAACCGGGGAACUGCGUCCGAUACUGGAUGGCUUGAGUUCGGGAGAGGGAUGCGGAAUUCCAGGUGUAGCGGUGAAAUGCGUAGAUAUCUGGAGGAACACCGGUGGCGAAGGCGGCAUCCUGGACCGACACUGACGCUGAGGAGCGAAAGCCAGGGGAGCAAACGGG